rnacentral:rRNA from 5 species
GGAUUCAUGACUGGGGUGAAGUCGUAACAAGGUAGCCGUAUCGGAAGGUGCGGCUGGAUCACCUCCUUUCCAG